GAGCGGAAAUGGGGAUGGAGGAAAGCUUGGCUUCUCUGGCUUAUUUUUUGCUGGCUUUAACCCUUAAGUGCCGCACUGAGAUGCAAUUACGCAAGGGCAGCUGCAGUAGCUCGAGUUGUGGGAGUCGUGGGCGGAGCUUUUGGCAGGAGUAUAAAUCUCAAAAAGCGAGGCUGUCCUGUACCUCCUCCUUUUUAGCAAGGCCGUGGCUGCUACCGCUUGACGCCGCUUUCGCUAUCCCCAGCCCUUUCUUCGGUGCUUUACUCCCACAGUUAACACUGUACUGGAGUUUGCUUUCCAGGCGGGCCUGUAUUAUGGCCUCUUGUAGCUUUAUUAAUGGGCGAUGGAUUCCCCCCGGGGGUGAAGGGGGGGCGAGGAAAUAAGAUGUGGGACAGGCUUACUGCCCUCCAGAGGGUGGUUCAAGACAGAUGCUAUUGGAGGUUGCUGAUUCAUAGGGUCACCAUAAGUCGUAAUCGACUUGAAGGCACAUAACAACAACAACAAAAAGGAUCACACCACUUGUUCCACAUGCCUUGCAUCUAGUCCUUUGGCAAGAGCCAAUUGCAUGCAGACAAGUCAACUCUACCAUUCUGGAAUCAUUGCAUUUUUUUUCUUGAGGUGCUGAUGGUCCAAGGACAAUACGGAAAAUGGAUUCUUGCAGAAUGGCUUCUUUCUAACAUGAGAAAAUAAACAUCGUAUGACUAAAUCAGCCAGCAGCACUGCAGGCAGCUUACGUAUACAUACACUGGAGUUGGUGUUACCACUUCAUUUAGGAUUGCUGAUUUAGUCAGACAACAAAGGCAUUGUUCAUCUUAACAACUGCAUGAUUGGCACCAAUUCACCUGGUAAGCAGUGACAGAACAACAGUGCUCAGGUACUGCAGUGAGAAGAGUCAUCAUAAUUCCAUUUUAAUGUGAUUUUUGUUUAUAAUAUCAUUCUGGUUUAUUCAUAGUCAGUUCAAUAAAAUGUGAUG